UACGUAGGGUGCGAGCGUUAAUCGGAAUUACUGGGCGUAAAGCGUGCGCAGGCGGCUUUGUAAGUCAGAUGUGAAAUCCCCGGGCUCAACCUGGGAACUGCAUUUGUGACUGCAAGGCUGGAGUACGGCAGAGGGGGAUGGAAUUCCGCGUGUAGCAGUGAAAUGCGUAGAUAUGCGGAGGAACACCGAUGGCGAAGGCAAUCCCCUGGGCCUGUACUGACGCUCAUGCACGAAAGCGUGGGGAGCAAACAGG
rnacentral:rRNA from 1 species